UUCUCAUCAGUUCUGUGAAUUGCCAGA
rnacentral:piRNA from 1 species